rnacentral:rRNA from 1 species
GUGAGGAAUAUUGGUCAAUGGGCGAGAGCCUGAACCAGCCAAGUCGCGUGAAGGAAGAAGGAUCUAUGGUUCGUAAACUUCUUUUGCAGGGGAAUAAAGUGCAGGACGUGUCCUGUUUUGUAUGUACCCUGAGAAUAAGGAUCGGCUAACUCCGUGCCAGCAGCCGCGGUAAUACGGAGGAUCCGAGCGUUAUCCGGAUUUAUUGGGUUUAAAGGGUGCGUAGGUGGUUUGAUAAGUCAGCGGUGAAAGUUUGCAGCUUAACUGUAAAAAUGCCGUUGAAACUGUCGGACUUGAGUGUAAAUGAGGUAGGCGGAAUGCGUGGUGUAGCGAUGAAAUGCAUAGAUAUCACGCAGAACUCCGAUUGCGAAGGCAGCUUACUAAGCUACAACUGACACUGAAGCACGAAAGCGUGGGGAUCAAACAGGAUUAGAAACCCCGGUAGUCC